GAGAGCACCGGGUCUAAUAAGAAUUUUUACUGUAAUAAGAAUUUUAUGCGUUAGAGCGAGUAAGUGGAAAUGAAGCAAAAUUUUACAGCUUUGAUCACAGUAGGCUGUGACUUUAGCAAAAGUUUGACAUCUUUGAUCACAGCAGGCUGUAAAUAAAAGCGUUAAUUUUGCAAAAACAUUUGAAGGUAAGAGAACGUUUUAACAAUUUGCAUUGUUUAUAAUGGAAUUUUUUUCUUUUAGAUUGCCGAAACACUGCGAUUUAAUCAUAUAAUUAAGGUAUGUAUUAGAAUUAUUCAAAUAUUUGUAUAUUUUAAUUGAUAAUUUUGCAUUUACAGAUUUGCGAUUUUUCAUUCUAAAUUUAUCUUCGACCUUGCUACCACGGAACAUCAACGCCACCACCACUCAGGCUCCACACCAGCAUAUCCACCACCUUCAACGCCGCCACCAACAAACAGCGCUGCAUACAUUAUUCGGUAAGUUUUCAUGCGACGAAUAAACGUUGCUUCAGCUGCAACUGCCUACAUUAAGCAUGUUCCUGGUGCUUCCCGAUUUGCACAUUUCACAAGAAAAGAUGUUUUUGCAAUUAAUAAACCUUAUGGCGUACAGAAACAGCUUCCUCUAAAAACCUGCAAAGCGUGAAGUACCUGGAACAUACUUAUUUAGUGCGUUCCAGAAAGUCUACGAUUUGCAGGUUUUGCAGGAUUUAGUCCAAAGUCGUUCCCGUACGCCACGUGAUACACGUGUUGAGAAGCAUUUUUGCCGACACUCUACUCAUUUCAUACAAUGAUGAGGGCAAAGCCAACAAAGCUCCACUUCUGGGGCUUAAAACAAUAUAAUUAGUUUUCGAUGCGUUUGGGAGUAUGCCCAAAAUUGACCUCAUUGCGGAAAUCAGGAAGCACGUGUUCCUAACCCACAAUAGGUACAAACAAAUUGUAAU